GGAAGAAUAGUAAGAUUGGUCAACUCCCAAGCAAGCUAACCGUCUAUGAUCACUGAUGCAUCCUUUUUCACUGUCUUCAUCAGAGUGAUCAUCUCCUCUCGGAUGAUGGGCUGAGAAAGAGGUCAGAUAACUUUCGAAGAAGGCCUUGGAGCCACCAUCAUUGGGAUGACAACCACAACUUCCAGCACGGAGACCUUGAGAACCUUUGACCUCGGCUCUUCUGCAAUCGCCUCCACUUUGGAAGACUUCGAUCGAGAUCAGGGGCUAGAUACCAUAAUCUUCUUUCUCUUCUGGGGCUAAGCUUUUGAAGGUGGGCCCAAUCUCUUCUUCUUCUUCGAUGGUGCGACCGCA
rnacentral:lncRNA from 1 species